UACGUAGGGAGCAAGCGUUGUCCGGAUUUAUUGGGCGUAAAGAGCUCGUAGGCGGUUCGGUAAGUCGGGUGUGAAAACUCUGGGCUCAACCCGGAGAGGCCACUCGAUACUGCCGUGACUUGAGUCUGGUAGGGGAGCACGGAAUUCCUGGUGUAGCGGUGAAAUGCACAGAUAUCAGGAGGAACACCGGUGGCGAAGGCGGUGCUCUGGGCCAGUACUGACGCUGAGGAGCGAAAGCGUGGGGAGCGAA
rnacentral:rRNA from 1 species